rnacentral:rRNA from 1 species
AACGUAGGACACAAGCGUUAUCCGGAGUUACUGGGCGUAAAGGGCGUGUAGGCGGAUCAAUAAGUCUAUUCUGAAAGCUCCUGGCUAAACUGGGAGAGGCGAAUGGAGACUGUUGGUCUAGAGUGAGGAAGAGGAAAGUGGAAUUCCGCGUGUAGUGGUGAAAUGCGUAGAGAUGGCGGAGGAACACCAGUGGCGAAAGCGGCUUUCUGGUC